AACCUUAGUUGUUAACGCAAGUAUCAGCUUAUUAUUGGGCCGACAGAAAACGUUUUUUAUUUUCAUUUUCUGCUUAAUCCGAAAUCGAUUUGUUUUCUUCUCUAUCUCUUUUCUCUCUCGAUAUCCAGAACUCCGACGAUAUCUCUUUGACGAUGAGCCUCUGUUAACUGUAUUGGCGAGACAGAACUGACCAUCGACGAUCAAUCACGUAGACAAGUUAUUGAGAAUGGAGUUGCUGCUGAUCCAAGAGUCGUCGUGAACCAGCCGCCUUCUUCGCCGAGAAGUCAAGAUUCCGGUGUUUCUUCCGACGGAAGAAGAGCUUUGGUCAAGGGAAACGGAGGAUGAACGCUCGAGCAAGCAUGGCUCAGGAGAAGAUGUCAUCAGAAGAACCGUUUAUGUCUCUGCUCUCGAUCAACAGGUUACUGAAGAACAGCUUGCUGAUUGCCGUAUAUGUGGUGACCCAAACUCAGUCCUCCGGUUUGCGUUCAUCGAGUUCACUGAUGAAGGACAUUUGGCCAGCAAGGUUUUGGUCACACACGUCUGGUUUACAAACCUGUGAUGAUAUAAAAAACAAACAAGAGGGUCCAUUUGUUUUGUUUUCUAGUUUUGUAAGCCGCUAAAUUCUUUGCACUAACGAGAACCAUAUAUUUCUUCUAUUUCUUGUAAGCCACAUAUGUUUUCUAUUCUCCGUAUAUAAAUGUGUUGUGU